rnacentral:misc_RNA from 1 species
UUUCCGUAGGUGAACCUGCGGAAGGAUCAUUACUGAGUGAGGGCCCCUCGGGGUCCAACCUCCCACCCGUGUUUAACGAACCUUGUUGCUUCGGCGGGCCCGCCUCACGGCCGCCGGGGGGCAUCUGCCCCCGGGCCCGCGCCCGCCGAAGCCACCUGUGAACGCUGUCUGAAGUAUGCAGUCUGAAACAAUUAUUAAAUUAAUUAAAACUUUCAACAACGGAUCUCUUGGUUCUG